rnacentral:rRNA from 1 species
CCUACGGGAGGCUGCAGUGAGGAAUAUUGGUCAAUGGGCGGAAGCCUGAACCAGCCAAGUAGCGUGCAGGAUGACGGCCCUACGGGUUGUAAACUUCUUUUAUACGGGAGUAACGCGCCUUACGUGUAGCGCUUCGCAUGUACCGUAUGAAUAAUGACCGGCUAAUCCCGUGCCAGCCGCCGCCGUAAUUCGGAAGGUCCCGGCGGUAUCCCGAUUUAUUUGGGUUAAAGGGAGCGGAGGCCGCCUGUCAAACGUGCUGGUAAAUGUCCGGGCUCAACCCGGGCCUUGCAGCGCGAACUGGCGUGAUUGAGGCAGCGGAAAGCAGGCGGAAGUCGUUGGGGAGCGGGGAAAGGCUUA